GACGAACGCUGGCGGCGUGCUUAACACAUGCAAGUCGAACGGAAAGGCCCUGCUUUUGUGGGGUGCUCGAGUGGCGAACGGGUGAGUAACACGUGAGUAACCUGCCCUUGACUUUGGGAUAACUUCAGGAAACUGGGGCUAAUACCGGAUAGGAGCUCCUGCUGCAUGGUGGGGGUUGGAAAGCCUCGGCGGUUGGGGAUGGACUCGCGGCUUAUCAGCUUGUUGGUGGGGUAGUGGCUUACCAAGGCUUUGACGGGUAGCCGGCCUGAGAGGGUGACCGGCCACAUUGGGACUGAGAUACGGCCCAGACUCCUACGGGAGGCAGCAGUGGGGAAUAUUGCACAAUGGGCGGAAGCCUGAUGCAGCAACGCCGCGUGCGGGAUGACGGCCUUCGGGUUGUAAACCGCUUUCGCCUGUGACGAAGCGUGAGUGACGGUAAUGGGUAAAGAAGCACCGGCUAACUACGUG
rnacentral:rRNA from 1 species